rnacentral:rRNA from 1 species
UACGUAGGGUGCAAGCGUUAAUCGGAAUUACUGGGCGUAAAGCGUGCGCAGGCGGUUAUGUAAGACAGUUGUGAAAAUCCCCGGGCUCAACCUGGGAACUGCAUCUGUGACGUGCAUAGCGUAGAGUACUGGUGAGAGGGGGAUGGAAAUUCCGCGUGUAGCAGUGAAAUGCGUACGAUAUGCGGGAGGAACACCGAUGGCGAAGGCAAUCCCCUGGACCUGAU